UUUUUUUUUUUUUUGAAAUGUGAAAGAUUGGUUCCUAUCUACAUAGGGAUGAGAAUCUAUUCUUACAAACCAAAAGGCUUCAAAGGAAUUUUUCUGGUGUACAUAUUUUUACCGUUUAGAAUUUCUAUAAAAUUCCUGUAAAACCAAAGGAGGCCUAAACCUUAGCCUAGACCCAGUUUAAAAAAAAACUAUUAUGUGAAUCAAAUAGCAUCUCUUUCCGUAUUCAUCUUCAUAGGAACAUUUUAUACAUGUCAUCUCAUUUCGGCCUCGUUUGAUUCAUAGGAUAAGAAUGACAUAGGAAGUGAGAUGACAUGUAUCUCAAUUACUAUAGAAAAAAGUAUGUUAUUUGAUGCAUGGGAUAAGAAUGCAUCCAUCGAGUCUAGGCUAAUGAAUUUUUUUCUUUGAAAUGUGAGGAUUGAUUUCUAUCCUACACAGAAAUGGAAAUCCAUUCCUACAAAUCCACUCCAAAGAAGAUUUUCCUAUGCAAAUCCUAUCAUAUGAAAUUCCUACGCACCAAUGGAGGCCUUUUGCAAAUUUCAUAUUCUUGUGAUAUUCCUAUCAUAUGAACUAAAGGAGGUGUGAAUGAGGACUAAAAUGUGGUCCUAGACGCAUCCGGUGCUAGCAGGUAUUAGUAUUUUUCCAAUUUCUAGUGUGUAAAUCUUUGUGAUGAUAGUAAGAAUCUAACAAUAGCGACGCACCAGUAGCGCGUGAUAGCAAUAUGACUGCCCGCUUUCAAUGGUGCACGCACAUCAGCGUUUCCCGAAAAGACUUUCAUAAGAAAGAAAGAGAAGAAAAAAUAGACCAAUUAUUAGUAUACAAGAUAAUAUCCAGCACCAUCAGCAGCAUAAACUUGUGGCUGGCGCCAGUCACAUUCCAAUAGCUUAAGCGGAACGCUUUGUAGCUUCCAAUCAGUGUUCUAGAACACGAUAUGCAAUCCAUCCUAGGAUGGAUGGAUGAUACUGUUCAAGGACCACUUGUGGGCUCAACCUACGGGCCAAUAUGCAAAAUGUACCCUUUGGAACAUGGUGGCAAUUACACCUGGUUACGUAUUUUAUUUUUAAAAAUUUCAGAAAAUUUCAAAACGUUCCAAAACUUUUUCCCAGCAAACUUGAGAUGUUGUUUCUGGUGUACAGAAAUAUUCUGCAACGAAAUAUUCUCUGACAAAUAUUCUACGGCGUAUAUAAAAACAAAUUUGUUUUUUUACAUCCACAACAACAUGAAAGUUAUUUCUUCGCGGAAGUUUUUAUACAAGUGCAAAAUAAAUCUACUUUGUUCGUAAAAAGUUUCAGAAUUUUUUGACUUUCUUACAAAUUACUAUUUAAAAAAACCGGGUGUAAUUACACCCGAGAGCCAUACAUUACGUUCCCGUCCGCCAAUAUAUGUACUGUUCACUCUGUUCACAAAUUUAGUAUUAUAAGAUGUUUUGGAUAUGUUGAUAUGAACUACACACGGAUUCAAAUGAGUACACAAACAUAGUAAAAUGUAUCUAUAUACUCCCUCCGUCCGAAAAUACUUGUCAUCAAAAUGGAUAAGAAGGGGUGUAUCUAGAACUAAAAUACAUCUAGAUACAUCCUUUUUUAAUCAUCUUGAUGACAAGUAUUUCCGGACGGAGGGAGUACAUCUUAUUCAGAAAAGGUUAAAAUAGCUUAUACUCAAAACUAUUUAUGAACAGAGGGAGUAUUGUUUAUAUUCAAAACUGAUUAAUGACAUUUAUUAUCUAAGAGAUAUGUAAAAUGGAUCUUACUCAUAACUCAUUUUCCAUAUCCCAAUUUUGACACUUAUUUUGGGACGGAGGGAGUAUUUCAUAUGCGUGGUAUAUACGACACCGAACACUAUUUCAAGGAAACUGUGAACUGAUUUGUUGACAGUUGAAUAAAAUAAAGUUAGUCAGCAGGCUAAAUUGUUUACAAGAGAACAGAUACAUCAUCAACUGUGAUCCAAAUUUUUUCCAUCACAUGGCCAUAAAGAACAGCUACAUCAUCAACCAGAUAAGGAUAACAGGUACAUCAUGCAUUCAUGGUUGAGGAGCCUAGUUUUGUCAGGGCAAAGCCAACCAUGCAUGCGCUAUACCUUCCACACAAGACAACAUAAAGAAACCUUGCAGAAUUGUGAACAG
rnacentral:lncRNA from 1 species